GAUUUCUGAUGCGACCUGCCUGGCCCGCCGUGGUUACACGCGUGAGUGCCGGGUGUUGUCCGUCUGUCUUCCUGUGACUUGCUGCCCUCUUCACUGAGUGGUGGUGUCUAGUUGUAGGAUCUUUUACUUUGAACAAAUUAGAGUGUUUCAAGCAGGCUUCUGCCAUGAAUACAUUAGCAUGGAAUAAUCAUUUAGGACUUCGGUUCUAUUUUGUUGGUUUCGAGAGCUGAAGUAAUGAUUGAUAGGGAUAGUUGGGGGUGCUAGUAUUCCGCGGCCAGAGGUGAAAUUCUUGGAUUCGCGGAAGACUAACUACUGCGAAAGCAUU
rnacentral:rRNA from 1 species